rnacentral:rRNA from 1 species
UACGGGGGGGGCAAGCGUUGUUCGGAAUUACUGGGCGUAAAGGGCUCGUAGGCGGCCAACUAAGUCAUACGUGAAAUCCCUCGGCUUAACCGGGGAACUGCGUCUGAUACUGGAUGGCUUGAGUUCGGGAGAGGGAUGCGGAAUUCCAGGUGUAGCGGUGAAAUGCGUAGAUAUCUGGAGGAACACCGGUGGCGAAGGCGGCGUCCUGGACCAAUACUGACACUGAAACGCGAAAGCCAGGGGAGCAAACGGG